rnacentral:rRNA from 1 species
CUCGAUCACUCCUACGGGAGGCAGCAGUGGGGAAUAUUGCACAAUGGGGGAAACCCUGAUGCAGCCAUGCCGCGUGUGUGAAGAAGGCCUUCGGGUUGUAAAGCACUUUCAGUAGGGAGGAAGGUAGUGUAGUUAACACCUGCAUUAUUUGACGUUACCUACAGAAGAAGCACCGGCUAACUCCGUGCCAGCAGCCGCGGUAAUACGGAGGGUGCGAGCGUUAAUCGGAAUUACUGGGCGUAAAGCGCAUGCAGGUGGUUUGUUAAGUCAGAUGUGAAAGCCCGGGGCUCAACCUCGGAAUAGCAUUUGAAACUGGCAGACUAGAGUACUGUAGAGGGGGUAGAAUUUCAGGUGUAGCGGUGAAAAUGCGUAGAGAUCUGAAGGAAUACCGGUGGCGAAGGCGGCCCCCUGGACAGAUACUGACACUCAGAUGCGAAAGCGUGGGGAGCAAACAGGAUUAGAUACCCUGGUAG